rnacentral:rRNA from 1 species
CUUUUCCCUCGAUCCCCCUUCUCUCCUCGAGCCCGACGCCCGCCCGCGCCCCGGGCGCCCGACGCCAACGCCGUUCGUCCUCGCCGGAGUCGCCUCACCGCCACUGUCGCCCGUCUCCGCCGUCGUCCCCGUCUUCCCCCUCAACGGACUCCUUCGCGCCUCGCUUGCCUCCGUUCGACUACGACGAUGAGCUCGAGUCGGGAAGGACUUCUCCGAGCAGAUCGAGCGCGUCUUCAUCCUUCGGUCGCCGGCGUUCUUCCUCAAAUCCGGCCACCCCUGCGCUACUAACCUUUCGUCGGGCCAUCCUGUGCCUUCCCA